CAUCGACCCCUCCUCUUCCCAUCGACAUCCUAUCCACCAACCUCCCCUCCCCUCCCACCCGACCUUGACAUGGACGGAGCCCCUGCGGCUGGCACGUACGCCAGCAGCCCACUCCGCCUCCGCCUCCUUCCUCCCUCUCUCUGCUUCUCCCCACACGACGGCGCAGCCAACUGGAUAGGACGAGGCACCAGCCGGCGAACGGCUUCAGCGAGACGGCGGCGGUGCGCGGGCGCUGGCGAGCCCCGUAGGUGGCCGCCGUCAUGGAUGCCACCCCAACGCGGCUUCCUCCUUAUAGUCCACGUGUGCUCAUGGGCUCGAUGAAGCAACGAAACCCUAGGUGCCUGUGUUCGGCGGCGGCCAGAUCUGGAGGGCACCCGAGUCUGAGGCACUGACAACAGGGAGGCAGUAGUAAGCACUAAGUACUUGAAAUUUUAAAUACAGUUCUCCAUUCUCUGGAAUCACUAAUUAGCCUUUCUUUGCUUGCACAUUGCAGAUUUUACAAUUUGAUUAAUUAUUCAAGCCCCUGUUAGCAUUGCUUUCUUAGAGGACCUAAGAUAUUUCAGGUCUGCCCCAAUUUUUACAGGGUCCCAAGUAAAUUAGAAUUUCUGUAAACUAAAAAAUAUAGCUACUUUAAUGGUAGAAUGAAUAUUUAUAAAAAACGGCAGGAUUGAGCCCAAGUUUACUAUGCGUUGGAAUUAGCUUCCAUCUUUUGGUUUUCUCAUUCACAGUAUCUUUUGGAAUUAGCCUCUGUAUAUAUCUUGCCUAUUCUGUUUCAUUCUUUUUUUGGUCUGUUAGGCCCCUUGUUUCAUUGCCAGAUUAUAUUAUAUUCUUAGUGUGUGUUGUUGUGUACAUGUUCACUUCUUUGUUUUGUCUACAGAUUUGGCUUUAUACACAGAUGUUUAACAAUUACUGAUGUCAAUUAUUAGAGAGCACAAUGACAAGGGGAGAGUACACGGCCGUGGGCGAGAUGAGCGCCUAAUAUUUGCUCAGAUGCCAUGCCUGAUGAAGCUGUAGGUUCCUUGGAGAACAAAUAUGUGAGUCCACAAAACAACUUGGCAAACUGACUUUGAUUUGUCUUCUCUGCAUUCAGUUUCAAUUUAUCCUGUGGUUCUUACUUCAAAGUGUUCCAAUUAAGAGAAGAAAAAGAACAGUUCUGCAACCCAAUCGGAUGCAUAGUCAGAGUUGUCUGUAGGAGAACUAAUUAUUUACGCCAGCUUUGUGAGUAAAAUAAAAACCUUUAUUUUUUGACAUUUGAGACAAACACAUCAGCAGAAACUGAAUUUGAAGGUUAUUUGAUUGUUCUCCUGUUUCAAACAUCUUUUAGUGGGCAUAUAUUUACCUGCCUUGCAUAAUGAUGAUCGCUGCCCUAUGAUUAUUAUUUGUGCAUUUCAGUCCGUGCCAAAUCCUGUCACGGCUCUAUGGUUUGCCUCAGAUCUCAAAUUUGAAUGCAUCUAAAAUUUGAAUGCAUCUAAAGCACUUUAUGUGCGCGCGCGUCUUCUAUAGAUCUACCCCUACCGCGCGCACAGGGGCGCGCGAAUUGCACUAGUAUACACAAAGUGCAUGUUCUGCAGCCAAUGUUGGUUGCUACGAAGAGUUCCGCCAUGAAAAAAAAGUGCCGCAGAAACCCAAGGGAGAUCAUAAUUUGUUUUUUUAGGAGUGAAAAUAUUAAAAACUAUUUAGGGACCUCUUGGAGAUGCUCUUCAGUUACUCCACAUUCAGUUACGUAUUGGUCACUUCCCUGGCUGCGCUACCUGUACUCACUGGUUUAUGUGUGGUUGCUAUUUUGUGCAGGUUUCAGGUUCAGUGUCAUUGUGAAGGUUUAGAUCAAUGUCUUUAUUUCCUAUACUAUCCUUCACCUUUGUUAAUACUCUAAUACUUCUUCCUGCAAGUUGAAGCUAUCUUUUAUCAAUUAUCUGCUCCAGCUAUGUAAUCUGUUAUCCUGCUCUAAAGCUCCAGUUGUGAGUCAAGAAUGUCUCACUGCUUGGAGGGAUAUCUAUCUACACAACUUUAAUUUUUUAAUGUUCUGAAAUAAGUGUUGUUCCAGUUUUGAAAACGUUUCCUAAUUUUUAACUUUGGGAUGUAGUUAAUUGGAGAUGUGCCUUGGUAAGUUGAUUUGUUCUAGAAACAAUGCAUGAUGUUUUUACUAUUCUGAAACUAAUGCAUGAUGUUUGGUGUAGUGAGAUCAUAUAUGCAUAGAUUAUUAUAACUGUUGUUUGAUUUGUUCCGGCUUACAUAUGUAAAGUUCAUUUUUGACUUUUUAUUUGUUUCAACAAGUGGUGUUUGUUUCUGAUGUAUUUUCUAUAGGAUAUGGAGAAAUUCCAGCAACCUAAGGUAUUCACUCAUGCUCCGAUCCUGACACCAAGAAGACCUAACUGCCAGCACCUAUUGAACUAUUAGUUUGGUGACUAAGAUCACUUGUGAGAUAGGGAUGUGAGAUUUCAUUUGUUUAUUUUAUUUGAGAUGACUUUGUGACUAAGGUCACUUGUUGAACUAUAGUUUGGUGUUCAUGAUGAAUGUAAUAAAUAUUUUGAUGAAUGACUUGGGAACCUGUUGAUUUGGCCAUGAGUGCAAUAUAUUGUGGGACCUGCAUAUGUUAA